CGAACAAAAUACGCUCUUGGCACUAACACUCUAUUUCCUUACCUCUGGGAUCCUUAAUCAACAAAUGGAUAUGAGCACUUCUAUGAUGCUGACAGUGGAUCUGGUUAUUUGGCCUGAAGGAUAAAGACAGUCCAGCGCGACACUGCAGUUCUAUCUCGGAGAUGCUCAACCACCUGUACCUAUCAAGCUGGACCAAAGAGCAAGAGACAUUUUUGUUGUCUGGGCAUCACUCCUCAGAUGCGUCUGGCUGGGACAGUGACCUGUCAAGCAUCCUACUGCUGGUUCACCUACUUCCCCCUACUGCAAAAGGACCCAAGAAGAGUCCUAAAAUUAGCUCGCAUCAAGCAAUCAAACUUGUUGUGAGAUAUUUGAGGAUUGGCGCCAGUGUUGAGACCUUCCUUGAGAGUUUGGAACCAGGACAACCCAUCCUCCUGUGUCGGUGAAGAGAAGAACAACAUCCAAAGAUUCUAUGUCAUCGUUGACCACAAGGCCAUCCCUUGCAAGGCUCAGACGUCCCUGGCAGCUUUCGAUGAACUCUUUAAGGCCCACUUCAUCUUCAGUGUUCACUACCACGAAUCCCUUAACAGCUUCUACACAUUCAUCCAAACAACUGUGUUCAACCUUGAUGUGGAAAGUACCAAGGAAAGUCCUCGUGUGAAGGAGCUCAGAGCAAGACUGCUGAACACAAGUAUCUGAGGUGACGCACAUCCUUGGCUGCAAAUAUGUUGAUUUGUUUUAUCUGCAAGUUACACCACAGAAGUUCUAUGUUGCUUUGUAAGCAUUUGAGAUUUUACCAUGGUUUAUAUCCAGGAAAGACAUUACGUUUGAAAUGUGGACAGCCGGAAUGUUCUAUAUUAUUUUGCACUUAUUCAGGGUUCAAGAAACACCUUAUUCGUUUGCACCGGGACACUGUUUCAACAAAUACUGUCACUGUCACUUCAGUGCUUAUUGUAUCAAGGAGAGGGAUGAUUCAUUUUAUGUUGUUUCUAUUGAUGAGUUGAUUGAUUAUAGACCCUAUGAUAAACAGUUAUCUAAUGAGAUGGAUGAAAAAAUAUACAUUGUGCCAU